AUUGAACGCUGGCGGCAGGCCUAACACAUGCAAGUCGAACGAGUGGCGGACGGGUGAGUAAUGUCUGGGAAACUGCCUGGUGGAGGGGGAUACCUACUGGAAACGGUAGCUAAUACCGCAUACCAUCAAAUGUGCACAGAUGGGAUUAGCUUGUUGGGGGGGUAACGCCUCACCAAGGCGCCGAUCCCUAGCUGGUCUGAGAGGAUGACCUGCCACACUGGAACUGAGACACGGUCCAGACUCCUACGGGAGGCAGCAGUGGGGAAGAUUACACAAUGGGCGCAAGCCUGAUGCAGCCAUGCCGCGUGUAUGAAGAAGGCCUUCGGGUUGUAAAGUACUUUCAGCGGGGAGGCGUUACCCGCAGAAGAAGCACCGGCGAACUCCGUGCCAGCAGCCGCGGUAAUUC
rnacentral:rRNA from 1 species